rnacentral:lncRNA from 1 species
CGUGGUUGUAGUCCCAGUUGGGGGAGAGCCACGUCCAGGGGUCGAAUCCCGGCAUUACCGAGGCUGGUGACGCUUGGGGCGAGCCGCUCCCAGCCCGCAGUAGGGAUUAGUUGGGCCGUACGGUAUUACCAGUCCAUGGGCCCAGAUACCCUACUGCGCAAAAAAAAAAAAAAAAAAAAAAUUAUAGCUUGUCAAUUAUCAAAACAUUGAAUAUAUUCACUACCAAGAUUACAUCUAGAAAAUGAAGCAAAAUUCAAAAAACGUGUACAAAAUGCUUGUCCACGUCACCAAAUCAAUACCGACUAUGUAAUCGUUA